rnacentral:misc_RNA from 1 species
GAUGAAGAACGUAGCGAAAUGCGAUAAGUAGUGUGAAUUGCAGAAUUCAGUGAAUCAUCGAAUCUUUGAACGCACAUUGCGCCCCAUGGUAUUCCGUGGGGCAUGCCUGUUCGAGCGUCAUUUACCCCCUCAAGCUCCGCUUGGUGUUGGGCGUCUGUCCCGCUUCGCGCGCGGACUCGCCCCAAAGGUAUUGGCAGCGAUCGUGCCAGCUUCUCGCGCAGCACAUUGCGCUUCUCGAGGCACCGGUGGGCCCGCGUCCAUCAAGCUCACCCCCCCAGUUUGACCUCGGAUCAGGUAGGGAUACCCGCUGAACUUAAGCAUAUCAAUAAGCGGAGGA